rnacentral:rRNA from 1 species
GACGAACGCUGGCGGCGUGCUUAACACAUGCAAGUCGAACGGUGACCCUCGGAGCUUGCUUCGGGGUGAACAGUGGCGAACGGGUGAGUAACACGUGAGUAACCUGCCCCUGACUCUGGAAUAAGCGCUGGAAACGGCGUCUAAUACCGGAUAUGACACACCCUCGCAUGGGGAGUGUGUGGAAAGUUUUUCGGUCUGGGAUGGACUCGCGGCCUAUCAGCUUGUUGGUGGGGUAAUGGCUCACCAAGGCGAUGACGGGUAGCCGGCCUGAGAGGGCAACCGGCCACACUGGGACUGAGAAACGGCCCAGACUCCUACGGGAGGCAGCAGUGGGGAAUAUUGCACAAUGGGCGAAAGCCUGAUGCAGCGACGCCGCGUGAGGGAUGACGGCCUUCGGGUUGUAAACCUCUUUCAGCAGGGAAGAAGCGAAAGUGACGGUACCUGCAGAAGAAGCACCGGCUAACUACGUGCCAGCCGCCGCCGUAAUAC